rnacentral:lncRNA from 1 species
AUGUUUAAUUUUUGGUUGAAACAAAUCUUGCUGCGAGCUCUCAUUUCAGCUUCCAGUUUAGCCACAAUGUCAGUCCCCAAAUGUAUUUUGCUUUUUAUAAUUGCAAGUGGCUGUAAUGGUCAGACUAUUGAACCAACAAGACAUGAGGUUUAUUCUCUGUCAGGUAGUAAUGUUACACUUUCAUGUACCUACUCAUCUGCAUUUUCUCUUCUAUGGUAUCGCCAGGACCCUGGAUCAGCUCCUCAGUUCCUCUCACUUGUCAUGAACAAUGCUGGUACUGAGACACCGGACAAAAGUCUUGAUCCUCGACUUUCUGCCAAACGGAAUAAUGAGAAGACCCGUGUGGAUCUGGAGAUCUCCUCUGUUGAAGUAGCAGACUCUGCUCUGUACUACUGUGCUCUGACGCCCACUGUGACAGGAAACCUACAUACGCUGCACAAAAACCUAACCAGACAUGACAGGACAUGGUGCAUCUGAAGGUUGUUCGUUUUGACAGGAAACGAGUUGGGUGGGAACAUAAAGCCUUUGUAAAGAGGCUGAGUGGCAUUAUAGAUGCUUACUUAAUCAAUUCAAAGUCAAGUCACCGAUUUGGCAUUGCUGUUUUCAAUAACAUGUUCGUGUUGAUUUUUUUACCAUUAUGUUGCUAUGUUUAAAUUUACUUGAUUUCAGAUCUUGUAACAUAUCAGAACAAAACCCAAAACAUGAAGUCCAAGGAAUUAUUGUGCCUGGGCUGGUCCUACAGGUGGACCCUGGAAGGUUCUGGAACUUACCUUGUUUAGGGACAUUGGUGCAAUGCUGAUCUAGCAAGCAUGUACACAUUUGCACCACAAUACAGUAAUACAUCAUUUGACAUCAUUGCUCCCAACAUGAAGCCUAUAGACUGACUGUGGGUGAGGUUUGGGGUCAAUUCUAUUCGACUUCCAAUCCAUUCACUAAACCAAACUCCAGUUUCAAAUAUUAUAUUGUGAAAACUAGUGUUUUUUUUUUUAAUGGAAUGACUGUGCAUGUACUUCCUUAAUUGACUGAAAUGAAUCCCAACCUUGGUAUCAAAAAAUGAACAGUAAAUGUUUC